rnacentral:rRNA from 1 species
UACGUAGGGGGCAAGCGUUGUCCGGAAUCAUUGGGCGUAAAGCGCGCGUAGGCGGCCCGGUAAGUCCGCUCUGAAAGUCCAGGGCUCAACCCUGGAAAGCGGGUGGAUACUGCCGGGCUAGAAUCCGGAAGAGGCGAGUGGAAUUCCUGGUGUAGCGGUGGAAUGCGCAGAUAUCAGGAGGAACACCAAUAGCGAAGGCAGCUCGCUGGGACGGUAUUGACGCUAAGGCACGAAGGCCAGGGGAGCAAACGGG